UACGUAGGGUGCGAGCGUUAAUCGGAAUUACUGGGCGUAAAGCGUGCGCAGGCGGUUUUGCAAGCCGGAUGUGAAAUCCCGGGCUUAACCUGGGAAUGGCAUUUGGGACUGCAAGGCUGGAGUGCGGCAGAGGGAGACUGGAAUUCCUGGUGUAGCAGUGGAAAUGCGUAGAUAUCAGGAGGAACACCGAUGGCGAAGGCAGGUCUCCUGGGCUGACACUGACGCUCAUGCACGAAAGCGUGGGGAGCAAACAGG
rnacentral:rRNA from 1 species